rnacentral:rRNA from 1 species
GAUGAACGCUGGCGGCGUGCCUAAUACAUGCAAGUCGAGCGAACGGACGAGAAGCUUGCUUCUCUGAUGUUAGCGGCGGACGGGUGAGUAACACGUGGAUAACCUACCUAUAAGACUGGGAUAACUUCGGGAAACCGGAGCUAAUACCGGAUAAUAUUUUGAACCGCAUGGUUCAAAAGUGAAAGACGGUCUUGCUGUCACUUAUAGAUGGAUCCGCGCUGCAUUAGCUAGUUGGUAAGGUAACGGCCUACCAAGGCAACGAUGCAUAGCCGACCUGAGAGGAUGAUCGGCCACACUGGAACUGAGACACGGUCCAGACUCCUACGGGAGGCAGCAGUAGGGAAUCUUCCGCAAUGGGCGAAAGCCUGACGGAGCAACGCCGCGUGAGUGAUGAAGGUCUUCGGAUCGUAAAACUCUGUUAUUAGGGAAGAACAUAUGUGUAAGUAACUGUGCACAUCUUGACGGUACCUAAUCAGAAAGCCACGGCUAACUACGUG